UGCACAUGUUGUAAACAACAGAAGGAUGAAAUGUUUGUAAACAAACCGGUUGGAAAAAGCCGGAAAUCAAAAUAAAACUUGCGCAUUUUAAACAAACGAAAUCCAACAAGUGUUGGAUGUCUUCCAAAAUCCAGGAAUUUACAGCAAAUAGAUGAAUGCGUGAAAACUUUCAACGAUUUAGCUAAAACUUGCAAGUUUUGGAAAUAAUGGAAAUUUUCAUAUAAGUCCUCUAAGCUAAACAAGGCAAAACUUUAACAGUUGCAGUUAAGACUUUAAGGUGAUAAGACGUUUAAACGGAAAAGUGACAACAUAUUUUGUAUAAAUGGCUUGUAUAAGCCAAAAGGCACAAAUACAAUUAAAGAAAAAGAAAAUUAAUUAAUUAGUUUUGGUGAAGCAAAAAUUGUAUUUAAAUUUAGUAAAAAUGUAAGGAAUUGAAGAACUGAGUUUUUCUAAAUUCGGCAGGAGAAGCUUUGUAAACAACUGGUUACUG